UUGAACUGAAGAGUUUGAUCAUGGCUCAGAUUGAACGCUGGCGGCAGGCCUAACACAUGCAAGUCGAGCGGAUGAGUGGAGCUUGCUCCAUGAUU
rnacentral:rRNA from 1 species